GAUCAUGGCUCGAGGAUGAACGCUGGCGGCGUGCUUAACACAUGCAAGUCGAACGAAGCACUUUAUUACGAUUUCUUCGGAAUGACGAUUUAGUGACUGAGUGGCGGACGGGUGAGUAACGCGUGGGUAACCUGCCUUAUACAGGGGGAUAACAGUUAGAAAUGACUGCUAAUACCGCAUAAGCGCACAGGAUUGCAUGAUCUGGUGUAGAAAAACUCCGGUGGUAUAAGAUGGACCCGCGUCUGAUUAGCUGGUUGGUGAGGUAACGGCCCACCAAGGCGACGAUCAGUAGCCGACCUGAGAGGGUGACCGGCCACAUUGGGACUGAGACACGGCCCAGACUCCUACGGGAGGCAGCAGUGGGGGAUAUUGCACAAUGGGGGAAACCCUGAUGCAGCGACGCCGCGUGGAGGAAGAAGGUUUUCGGAUUGUAAACUCCUGUCGUUAGGGACGAUAAUGACGGUACCUAACAAGAAAGCACCGGCUAACUACGUG
rnacentral:rRNA from 1 species